GCCUCAUUUAUCUGUCUCAGAAAUUCCAGCAGCUGGUUGAGCAUGAGGCUCUUAAUCUCACGGCUGCGGGUUCAAAUCCCACUUUGGGCA